CCCCCAAACCACCUCUUACAAGAGUCGCUUUCAUUCAUUCUUAUGUCCUACUCUUUUACUUUUUGGAUUUCUUGUGGACCAAAAAGGUGCUUGUGUCCUUUCCCUCUCUGCAGAGGGUGGGAGGUGGUACAGGGUCUCUGGACAGUGAACGUGGGGAACCCACCACACUGUCUUUAGCUGUGUGGCCUUUGGAGAAGACAUUUCAUCUUUCAGGCCCUCAGUUUCCCCAUCCUUACCACACAGGAAUUGAGCCAAAUGAUUGCUAAGGUCCCUUUCAGCGCCGACCUCCUCUGACCGAAUGAGAUAAUGUGCGAAAGCACUUUGUAAACGCUAAAGCCGGACGAGUGCCAAGGAUUAUUAUUACGAUUCUAAUCAAUCCUCUUUUCUCCACAUGGAUCUUGGCUGUUUAGCGCCAGCAAACAGGCUAAAGAGGGCCGCAAGCAAGACAGCUUAGAGGAGCUGGGAAAGCUCUGUGCCGUGCACAGAAAAAACUCUGCCUCUCCAGAAACAUUCUGUCUCUGUGUGCCCCCCGAGGCCUGGUGGGGAGGGGUGGGGAGGAGGAGGAGGCCUAACCUGGUAGGACCCAUUUCAGUUCCCAUGCAGGCAGGCAGGGAGUAGAAUUCUUCCAAAGCAUCGUUUGUCUCCCAGUGACUGACAUAGGAACCUAAUGUGAAGGCGAUCUGCAAUUGUUUUUUUCCAGGAAGAAAGGAAAGAGCAAGGUGUAGCUGAUUAGCAAGUUAAUUAUUUCAGUACCCCAAGGGUUCCAGUGUGGUGGUAAGUUGUCCAGCCCUGGUGUAAUUUCACAGUCCAUGCAUUUCCUGGGGAGCACCUGGGGUGGCUGGGUCUGUCUGUCUCUCCAUCCACCUGCCUUAUGUCUUUGUGACACACCUGGGGAGCUGAGCAGGGGCUGGGGGAGUAGAUGGUGCCACAUAUAUAUUUGGCUCAGGUGGCAGGUGGAGGGCCAGACAGAGAACAAGGUAGAGGAAGCCUCUAUCUCUACCAAGUGUUUAAUUAUCUGGCCCUUCGUUCUUCUUAAAAAAAAAAUUCUGUUGAAUAAAUAUUAAUGAGGCAGGUUAUCAGAAAGCGGAGUUACUGUGAGGUUAUUUCCCCAGACUUGGCGUGGAAAGAAGUGGGGUUGGAGGGGCCCUUUUGCCUCUCACCCCACUCCUAGUCCUGGCCCACUCUUCAGUGCUCAUAUUUGCUUUCCCAGUUCUGGCCGCCACUUGGUCUGCGGUGGCUUCAUCCAAUCUCCCUUCAAGAGCUGAUUUCCCCUUGGGGGAGGGGAGGGAGGGCUGUGUGGUCAAACGGACACCUCCGUCAGAGAGAUAAGUUGGGGAGGUGAACAUGAGCCUCAGAAUUGGCAGCUUCUGCUUCUCCCUGCUCCCUAGGCUGGUAGGGCCAGCCCCCUGCUGCUCCUCCUGCGAUGGACAGGGGCUCGACAGUUUACUUAAGAGUGGUCCCAUCUGCUCAGACUGGCCUUUCAUAAGGGGAGGGAUUUAUGCAGUGUCCUUGUGCACAGACCUGGGAUUUGCUUGAAAACCCUGGGCCUCUGAGAAUAUUACUGAAAGCUGAAAUGUUCAGCCACAGCGAUGAUUCAUGAGUUGUCUGCAUUCAAUGGGGGUAUGUGUGUGUGUGUGUGUGUGUAUGUGUGUGUUGGGGAGGGGGCACACGCAUUGAUGGGUGCUUUUCCCCAGUCUUACUUCUAAUCCAAACGUUAGGAAACUUUCUUUUUUCCUGUAUUCACUCAGGAGACAGCCCACAGCACCUGGCUCUGGAGAGCCAACUUCCCGACUUCAGCGGUGUGAAGACGCGGUGAUACUUUUUGGCGCCGGCAAUCAAGCAGGCAUCCGGGGUCUCAGCAGGAGGAAGUCAGAGAAACUGAGAACACAGGAAGGCAGGUGUAGCAAGUUCCUUGUCUCAAUCUUGGUAGCACCAAGCCAAAAUGAAGCCCAGAGAUCCCAGAGAACAGGGCUUGGAGGUCCCGUAUGGGAUCUUGACCUCUUUUCAUUGCCCAGUGGCUGGUAAGCGAGCAUUUUCAGCUUAUAUGACCCUCAUUGGUGGUUCUACCAUUUUCUUGCUCAUGUUCUAGUUUGGACCCUAGCCUCCACAGCUCUGGAGUUUUUCUUUUCUCACAGGCCAUUCGUAAUUUAGCCAGCGUUUUAGGCCAUUGGUCAGCACAUGUUCUGAAUGGGGAGCCAGCAGGCCUGUACCUAUGUGCAAAGUUGUUCUCAUUUGGGCUCAAGGGAGGAUAUAGUUUCCCCUUAAAAAAAGAGAAGCAGGGAACCAUUUCUAUGAAUCUUUUGAUGAAGGAUUUACUACCAAUUUGAUAAGUUCAAUGCUCUUUUUACUCAUUCUGAAUGAAUAACUUUGUCAGUCAACCCAAGGGUCUGCAGAACCUAUAAAAAUUCUUUCUUCAGCCUCCCUGUUUUAACACAUGCUGGGGCUCCAGCCUGCCUCUGACAGACUGGGGAGGAGCAGAAACAUUCCAGAGACCAGGACUUAGAGUGUUAUCUCUCCCCCUACCCCAAAUCCUCACUCUCCAUUUUAUCUCUCUUUACCACAAAUGCAGAGACCUCCUAGGGACGUGUGAAGGGAUGGGUUUUAAUCAGGUUUGGGGAAGUAAGGGGCCUAAGUUGACCCCAAAGAAAGAGGGAAACCAUUGGAAUUUCUCAAUGAUGCCCCGCUGUUACAUCUCUCAUGUGUUGUAUAUUGCAUCCCACAGAGUAUGCAUUUGUGGCAGUAAUCUACAGUGUAUACCUACGGUGUAUAGGUUAGCAUUUCCCAAAUGCUGCUUGGCCGAAACAGUGUUAAAUAAAAUUGUAAGAAAUUCUA